rnacentral:rRNA from 1 species
UAAGCGACUAAGCGUACACGGUGGAUGCCUAGGCAGUCAGAGGCGAUGAAGGGCGUGCUAAUCUGCGAAAAGCGACGGUAAGCUGAUAUGAAGCGUUAUAACCGACGAUACCCGAAUGGGGAAACCCAGUGCAAUACGUUGCACUAUCGUUAGAUGAAUACAUAGUCUAACGAGGCGAACCGGGGGAACUGAAACAUCUAAGUACCCCGAGGAAAAGAAAUCAACCGAGAUUCCCCCAGUAGCGGCGAGCGAACGGGGAGGAGCCCAGAGUCUGAAUCAGUUUGUGUGUUAGUGGAAGCGUCUGGAAAGUCGCACGGUACAGGGUGAUAGUCCCGUACACCAAAAUGCACAGGCUGUGAACUCGAUGAGUAGGGCGGGACACGUGACAUCCUGUCUGAAUAUGGGGGGACCAUCCUCCAAGGCUAAAUACUCCUGACUGACCGAUAGUGAACCAGUACCGUGAGGGAAAGGCGAAAAGAACCCCGGCGAGGGGAGUGAAAUAGAACCUGAAACCGUGUACGUACAAGCAGUGGGAGCACCUUCGUGGUGUGACUGCGUACCUUUUGUAUAAUGGGUCAGCGACUUAUAUUUUGUAGCAAGGUUAACCGAAUAGGGGAGCCGUAGGGAAACCGAGUCUUAACUGGGCGUCUAGUUGCAAGGUAUAGACCCGAAACCCGGUGAUCUAGCCAUGGGCAGGUUGAAGGUUGGGUAACACUAACUGGAGGACCGAACCGACUAAUGUUGAAAAAUUAGCGGAUGACUUGUGGCUGGGGGUGAAAGGCCAAUCAAACCGGGAGAUAGCUGGUUCUCCCCGAAAGCUAUUUAGGUAGCGCCUCGUGAACUCAUCUUCGGGGGUAGAGCACUGUUUCGGCUAGGGGGCCAUCCCGGCUUACCAAACCGAUGCAAACUCCGAAUACCGAAGAAUGUUAUCACGGGAGACACACGGCGGGUGCUAACGUCCGUCGUGAAGAGGGAAACAACCCAGACCGCCAGCUAAGGUCCCAAAGUCAUGGUUAAGUGGGAAACGAUGUGGGAAGGCACAGACAGCCAGGAUGUUGGCUUAGAAGCAGCCAUCAUUUAAAGAAAGCGUAAUAGCUCACUGGUCGAGUCGGCCUGCGCGGAAGAUGUAACGGGGCUAAACCAUGCACCGAAGCUGCGGCAGCGACACUUAGGUGUUGUUGGGUAGGGGAGCGUUCUGUAAGCCGUUGAAGGUGACCUGUGAGGGUUGCUGGAGGUAUCAGAAGUGCGAAUGCUGACAUAAGUAACGAUAAUGCGGGUGAAAAACCCGCACGCCGGAAGACCAAGGGUUCCUGUCCAACGUUAAUCGGGGCAGGGUGAGUCGACCCCUAAGGCGAGGCUGAAAAGCGUAGUCGAUGGGAAACAGGUUAAUAUUCCUGUACUUGGUGUUACUGCGAAGGGGGGACGGAGAAGGCUAGGCUGGCCGGGCGACGGUUGUCCCGGUUUAAGCGUGUAGGGGGAGUGACCAGGUAAAUCCGGUUGCUUAUCAACCCUGAGGCGUGAUGACGAUGCACCACGGUGCAGAAGCAGUUGAUGCCAUGCUUCCAGGAAAAGCCUCUAAGCAUCAGGUAACAUUAAAUCGUACCCCAAACCGACACAGGUGGUCAGGUAGAGAAUACUCAGGCGCUUGAGAGAACUCGGGUGAAGGAACUAGGCAAAAUGGUGCCGUAACUUCGGGAGAAGGCACGCUGGCGUUAGGUGAAAGGACUAGCUCCUGGAGCUGAAGCCAGUCGCAGAUACCAGCUGGCUGCAACUGUUUAAUAAAAACACAGCACUGUGCAAACACGAAAGUGGACGUAUACAGUGUGACGCCUGCCCGGUGCUGGAAGGUUAAUUGAUGGGGUCAGCCGCGAGGCGAAGCUCUUGAUCGAAGCCCCAGUAAACGGCGGCCGUAACUAUAACGGUCCUAAGGUAGCGAAAUUCCUUGUCGGGUAAGUUCCGACCUGCACGAAUGGCGUAAUGAUGGCCAGGCUGUCUCCACCCGAGACUCAGUGAAAUUGAACUCGCUGUGAAGAUGCAGUGUACCCGCGGCAAGACGGAAAGACCCCGUGAACCUUUACUAUAGCUUGACACUGAACAUUGAGCCUUGAUGUGUAGGAUAGGUGGGAGGCCUUGAAGUGUGGACGCCAGUCUGCAUGGAGCCAACCUUGAAAUACCACCCUUUAAUGUUUGAUGUUCUAACUCGGCCCCAUGAUCUGGGGUGAGGACAGUGUCUGGUGGGUAGUUUGACUGGGGCGGUCUCCUCCCAAAGAGUAACGGAGGAGCACGAAGGUUAGCUAAUCACGGUCGGACAUCGUGAGGUUAGUGCAAAGGCAUAAGCUAGCUUGACUGCGAGAGUGACGGCUCGAGCAGGUACGAAAGUAGGUCUCAGUGAUCCGGUGGUUCUGAAUGGAAGGGCCAUCGCUCAACGGAUAAAAGGUACUCCGGGGAUAACAGGCUGAUACCGCCCAAGAGUUCAUAUCGACGGCGGUGUUUGGCACCUCGAUGUCGGCUCAUCACAUCCUGGGGCUGAAGUAGGUCCCAAGGGUAUGGCUGUUCGCCAUUUAAAGUGGUACGCGAGCUGGGUUUAGAACGUCGUGAGACAGUUCGGUCCCUAUCUGCCGUGGGCGUUGGAAGAUUGAGAGGGGCUGCUCCUAGUACGAGAGGACCGGAGUGGACGAAUCACUGGUGUUCGGGUUGUCAUGCCAAUGGCAUUGCCCGGUAGCUAAAUUCGGAGGAGAUAACCGCUGAAAGCAUCUAAGCGGGAAACUUGCCUCGAGAUGAGUCUUCCCUGGGGCUUAAAGUCCACUGAAGGAACGUUAAAGACUAUGACGUUGAUAGGCUGGGUGUGUAAGUGCAGCGAUGUAUUGAGCUAACCAGUACUAAUGAUCCGUGAGGCUUAACCU